rnacentral:rRNA from 1 species
AUACGGAGGGUGCAAGCGUUGUCCGGAUUUAUUGGGUUUAAAGGGUGCGCAGGCGGUGCGUUAAGUCAGUGGUGAAAUCUUCCGGCUCAACCGGGAAACUGCCAUUGAUACUGGCGCACUUGAGUACGGACGAGGUAGGCGGAAUUUAUGGUGUAGCGGUGAAAUGCAUAGGUACCAUAAAGAACACCGAUAGCGAAGGCAGCUUACCAGACCGUAACUGACGCUCAGGCACGAAAGCGUGGGGAGCAAACAGGAUUAGAUACCCUAGUAGUCC